GGCUGGUCCGAAGGUAGUGAGUUAUCUCAAUUGAUUGUUCACAGUCAGUACAGAUUGAACUCCUUGUUCUUCUCUUUCCCUCCUUUCUCACUACUGCACUUGACUAAUUUUAA
ensembl:misc_RNA Y_RNA Y RNA